UACGUAGGGACCAAGCGUUGUUCGGAUUUACUGGGCGUAAAGGGCGCGUAGGCGGCUUGUCAAGUCACUUGUGAAAGCCCUGGGCUCAACCUGGGAACGGCAUUGGAAACUGGCUUACUAGAGUGCGGUAGAGGGGUGUGGAAUUCCCGGUGUAGCAGUGAAAUGCGUAGAUAUCGGGAGGAACAUCUGUGGCGAAGGCGACACCUCGAGCCAGCACUGACACUGAGGCACGAAAGCGUGGGGAGCAAACAGG
rnacentral:rRNA from 1 species